UACAGAGGUCUCAAGCGUUUGUUCGGAUUCAUUGGGCGUAAAGGGUGCGUAGGUGGCGCUGUAAGUCGGGUGUGAAAUUUCGGAGCUUAACUCCGAAACUGCAUUCGAUACUGCGGUGCUUGAGGACUGGAGAGGAGACUGGAAUUCAUGGUGUAGCAGUGAAAUGCGUAGAGAUCAUGAGGAAGACCAGUGGCGAAGGCGGGUCUCUGGACAGUUCCUGACGCUGAGGCACGAAGGCCAGGGGAGCAAACGGGGAUUAGAAACCCGUC
rnacentral:rRNA from 1 species